UACGAAGGGGGCUAGCGUUGCUCGGAAUGACUGGGCGUAAAGGGCGCGUAGGCGGCCAACUAAGUCGGAUGUGAAAUCCCCAGGCUUAACCUGGGAACUGCAUCCGAUACUGGAUGGCUUGAAUCCGGGAGAGGGAUGCGGAAUUCCAGGUGUAGCGGUGAAAUGCGUAGAUAUCAGGAAGAACACCCGUGGCGAAGGCGGCUCUCUGGGACGGUACUGACGCUGAGACGCGAAAGCGUGGGGAGCGAACAGG
rnacentral:rRNA from 1 species